rnacentral:misc_RNA from 1 species
AACGCACAUUGCGCCCGCCAGUAUUCUGGCGGGCAUGCCUGUUCGAGCGUCAUUUCAACCAUCAAGCGCCUCACUUGUGUUGGGGCCCUGCGGCUGCCGCAGGCCCUCAAAUCCAGUGGCGGGCUCGUCGUCGUACCGAGUGCAGUAAACAUCCUCGCUCAGGGAACCCGACGGGUGCCGGCCGUGAAACCCCCCCUCCUUAAGGUUGACCUCGGAUCAGGUAGGAAUACCCGCUGAACUUAA